rnacentral:lncRNA from 10 species
AUAGACAAUUUAGAUUUAACAUCUGUGCCCUUAACCAACAGAAUCUAGCACAUGCUGGGCCCAUUAAGGCCCCUUAAAGAGCUUUCAGAAGACAACCUGGUACGAUGGCCCUGCCUUGUGUCACUAUUUUAUUCGGCAGUUCCAGCCUGGUUCUGUCACAUUGUCUCAUCACAAAAUUGGAUUGCACAGAACUCAAAUGGAGAGGACGUUCAAACUCAGGAAUGUGGAGCACUCAUCAUCUGCUGUGGUCAAAGAGACAAUCUGUGAAGAAAGUGAACAAGGCAGAUGGAGAUAAAUUCAAAAACAGAGAUCCGAAAGGCUGCUAAGAGAGAAAGGAACAGGAAUCUCCCAGUUCCUGAGAGCCUCCCAGGCUUUCUCCCUCGAUGUUUAAAAUUUGGAAAACAGGCUUUUCCUAUCCGGAUGAACAGAGAUAAUUUGUGUCGAUGGAUGUUCUGUGAAGGCCUAUUGUGUCGAGCAGCGUAUUAAAACAUAAACAUGGCUCUUCCCCCAAGAAACUUACAUUUCAGUAAGGGAGCCUGGCCAAAAUGGAAAACUGCAAGGUUCAAAUCCUGGAGUGCAGAAGAAGCAUUAGGCAUUGACCCUGUGGCUUCCUAAUAGAUCCGCAAAGUGCUUUGUUCCUGGAAAUCAUCCGAUGAGUAGUUCAGUGCUAUUGUAUAUCUUGUUAGAGCAGCCGAAGUGCCACAAAAUGAACUAAAAUCUCCCUGCAGAGUUGCUGUAUCAUAUGCUGAGAACAUUCGGAACUUUCAACAAAUUCAUGUUACGAUCCUGGGUAGCCAUGGUUAAAUCUGUACAGGGGUUAAAUGAGAAAUAUGAGCCUGCUGUUAAGUGUCUUCUGAGAGUGACAAAGCUCUGGCCAUAAGGGAUGGGAGAGGAGGGAUUUCUUCUCAGCCUUCCAGCCCUUUCCAGCUGUAUCACAGACAGGAGACAUAAUGCAAAGGGGCUCAGACAUUGACUUCCUGGAUCUUUGCGGCCCCAGGCAUUGACCCCCUCUACCUGGCUUUUCCUACGCUGUAAAAUGAGGAUCCUCCUAUAUUAUGGAGUUUAUUGUGACAACUAAAUAGCUGAGAAGAAGGACAUCUCAUUUGUUUUAACUAUGCAGUUUCCUGUCUAUCUAUCUAUCUAUCCCAUCAAUCUAUCAAUCAAUCUAUCAAUCUGUCUAUCCCUAUCUAUCUAUCCAUCUAUCUAUCUAUAUCUGUCUAUAUCUAUCUAACAUUUAUCUAUCAUCUAUUCAUCUAUCAGCUAUCUUCUGUCUAUCAAUAUUUCAAUCAAUCUCUCUAUCCCUAUCAAUUAAUCUAUCUACCUACCUAUCAACUAUCCAUCUAUCUCUAUCAUCUAUCAUCUAUUCAUCUAUCAUUUAUCAUCUGUCAAUCCAUCUUCCUACUAUCUAUCAAAAGCAACACAUUUUCUUCCUGACUUUAAAAAUAUUUAAGUGGGCCGGGAGGAUGGCUCACGCCUGUAAUCCCAGCACUUUGGGAGGCCUAGGCGGGCGGAUCACGAGGUCAGGAGAUGGAGACCAUCCUGGCUAACAUGGUGAAACCCCGUCUCUACUAAAAAUACAAAAAAAAAAAAAAAUUAACCAGGCGUGGUGGAGGGCGCCUGUAGUCCCAGCUACUCGGGAGACUGAGGCAGGAGAAUGGGGAGAACCCGGGAGGCGGAGCUUGCAGUGAGCCGAGAUCAUGCCACUGCACUCCAGCCUGGGCGACAGAGCAAGACUCCAUCUCAAAAGAAACAAAAACAAAAACGUAAGUGAUACUCUGUCCACUCUUUUGAUUGAGGAGGUCUGAUUUUCAGGCUUUGGAUUUUAUUAUGUCUUCAAUAUAAUAAUUGUUCCAUGUAUCUCUCCUAAAUUGCCAUUUGAAAAACUGCUUUUCUGAAGUUUAAAGUGCACAUUUUGAUACAUCUUGACACAUAUAUACACCCAUGAAAUCAUCACCACAAUCAGGAUAGUAGAUCUAUCCAUUACCGCCAAGGUUUACUUGCACUCCUUUGAACUUUCUCCCCACUCCUCACCCCCUGCCUAUCCCCAAUCCUUAAGCAAUCACUGAUUUGCUUUCUGUCACUAUCAGUUAAUUUGAAUUUUUCAGAAAUGUAUAUAAAUAAAAUCAUUCGACGUGUAUGCUCUUUUUCUGUUCACCCGGUACAAUUUGAGAUUUAGCCAUGUUUUUGCAUGUGUCAAUAGUUUAUUUUUUUGUUGCUCAGUACUAAUCCAUUUUAUGGAUACAGAGAAAUGUAUUAAUGCAAUCCCAUAUUAAUAGGCAUUUGGGUUGUUUCCAGGUUUGGGCUGUUACAAAUAAAGCUGCUAUGAACAUUUUUGUGCAAGUCUUUUUAUGAGUAUAUUCCUUUAUUUCUUUUGGGUAAAUACCUAGAAGUGGGAUGGGUGUAUCACAUGGUACGUAAAUAUUUAAAUUUUUAAGAGAAUGCCAAACUGUUUUUCAAAGUAAUUGCACCAUUUUAUAUUCCCACCAGGAAUAUAUGAGAAUUCCAGUUCCUCUACAUACUCACAGACAUAUUGUAUGGUCAGU